rnacentral:rRNA from 1 species
AACGAACGCUGGCGGCAUGCUUAACACAUGCAAAGUCAAACGGUAACGGAGGUGCUUGCACCUGCCGACGAGUGGCGCACGGGUGAGUAACGCGUGGAUACCUGUCUAGAGGUGGGGGACAACAGUUGGAAACGACUGCUAAUACCGCAUAAUCCCUUCGGGGGAAAGAUUUAUCGCCUUUAUGAGGGGUCCGCGUUGGAUUAGAUAGUUGGUGGGGUAAUGGCCUACCAAGUCGACGAUCCAUAGCUGGUCUGAGAAGAUGGCCAGCCACACUGGGACUGAGACACGGCCCAGACUCCUACGGGAGGCAGCAGUGGGGAAUAUUGCGCAAUGGGGGAGACCCUGACGCAGCAAAUGCCGCGUGAGUGAAGAAGGUUCUCGGAUUGUAAAGCUACUUUCAGCUGGGAAGAUAGUGACGGUACCAGCAGAAGAAGCCCCGGNUAACUCCGU